UACAGAGGGGGCAAGCGUUAUUCGGAAUUAUUGGGCGUAAAGGGCCAGUAGGCGGCCAACUAAGUCGGAUGUGAAAUCCCCAGGCUUAACCUGGGAACUGCAUCCGAUACUGGAUGGCUUGAAUUCGGGAGAGGGAUGCAGAAUUCCAGGUGUAGCGGUGAAAUGCGUAGAUAUCUGGAGGAAUACCGGUGGCGAAGGCGGCAUCCUGGACCGACAUUGACGCUGAACGGCGAAAGCUAGUGGAGCAAACGGG
rnacentral:rRNA from 1 species